rnacentral:rRNA from 1 species
GACACAGGUGCUGCAUGGCUGUCGUCAGCUCCGUGUCGUGAGAUGUUGGGUUAAGUCCCGUAACGAGCGCAACCCUUGUCCUUAGUUACCAGCACGUUAUGGUGGGCACUCUAAGGAGACUGCCGGUGACAAACCGGAGGAAGGUGGGGAUGACGUCAAGUCAUCAUGGCCCUUACGGCCUGGGCUACACACGUGCUACAAUGGUCGGUACAAAGGGUUGCCAAGCCGCGAGGUGGAGCUAAUCCCAUAAAACCGAUCGUAGUCCGGAUCGCAGUCUGCAACUCGACUGCGUGAAGUCGGAAUCGCUAGUAAUCGUGAAUCAGAAUGUCACGGUGAAUACGUUCCCGGGCCUU